rnacentral:rRNA from 1 species
UACGUAGGUGGCAAGCGUUGUCCGGAUUUAUUGGGUUUAAAGGGUGCGUAGGCGGCUUUGUAAGUCAGUGGUGAAAUAUGGCAGCUUAACUGUCAAGGUGCCAUUGAUACUGCAGAGCUUGAGUACAGAUGAGGUAGGCGGAAUUGACGGUGUAGCGGUGAAAUGCUUAGAUAUCGUCAAGAACACCUAUAGCAAAGGCAGCUUACUAAGCUGUAACUGACGCUGAGGCACGAAAGUGUGGGGAUCAAACAGG